rnacentral:rRNA from 1 species
GUGGGGAAUAUUGCACAAUGGAGGAAACUCUGAUGCAGCGACGCCGCGUGAGUGAAGAAGUAAUUCGUUAUGUAAAGCUCUAUCAGCAGGGAAGAUAGUGACGGUACCUGACUAAGAAGCUCCGGCUAAAUACGUGCCAGCAGCCGCGGUAAUACGUAUGGAGCAAGCGUUAUCCGGAUUUACUGGGUGUAAAGGGAGCGUAGACGGCUGUGUAAGUCUGAAGUGAAAGCCCGGGGCUCAACCCCGGGACUGCUUUGGAAACUAUGCAGCUAGAGUGUCGGAGAGGUAAGUGGAAUUCCCAGUGUAGCGGUGAAAUGCGUAGAUAUUGGGAGGAACACCAGUGGCGAAGGCGGCUUACUGGACGAUGACUGACGUUGAGGCUCGAAAGCGUGGGGAGCAAACAGGAUUAGAUACCCUAGUAGUCC